rnacentral:lncRNA from 1 species
GCUGAUGAUGACAUUGGACAUGAUUGAUUAAUGCACGCCUUAAUUCCUAGGAGGUCAGAGCUGUUAUUAUCCCCACUCUACAGUGGAGGCUGAGGCAAAGUGGGUUAUGAAACUUGCCCAAAGCCUUGGAGCUGGUAACUGGCAGAGCUGGAAUUUGAACUUGAAUAGUUUGACUCCACCUCCCCAGAAGGCUGCAGAAUUCCCGAAAGGCAUCCUGAGGCCUCCCCUCCGCACUUCGUGCCACUCUGCUGAAGCCGACUCCGCGGUUCCUCCCAGCUCCAGCCUCCCGCUGGCCUCCUCCACGGCCCUCUGCAUCUGAAGAUGCACCGCAUCCGGGUGCGAGUCUCCAAAUCGAGUCCAUCGGCACAGUGGGUUGUAAGCUCCCUGAAGGCUGAGACUAACCCUGCUCUGCUCACCACACUAUGCCCAGCUCAGCCAGCCCACAAGAGGAACCCAAGAAAUAUUUGCUGAACCCAUUAUUGUAUGGAUUAAUAUUGUAAUGUAAUAAAAUAAUGGAUUCCAC